UACGUAGGGAGCAAGCGUUGUCCGGAAUCAUUGGGCGUAAAGCGCGCGUAGGCGGCCCGGUCAGUCCGUCGUGAAAGUCAAAGGCUCAACCGUUGAAUGUCGAUGGAUACUGCCGGGCUAGAGUCCGGAAGAGGCGAGUGGAAUUCCUGGUGUAGCGGUGGAAUGCGCAGAUAUCAGGAGGAACACCAAUAGCGAAGGCAGCUCGCUGGGACGGUACUGACGCUAAGGCGCGAAAGCGUGGGGAGCGAACAGG
rnacentral:rRNA from 1 species